CGCACCGACCGAAGCCGCAAACCCCACACCACUCUCCAGCCUCCUCGCCGCCGCCGCCGCCGCCGCCGUGCUCUCCGGCGGCCGCAGCCAUGUUCCCGCUCGUCCGCGCGCUGCGGAGACUCGGCCCUGCCGCGGGCGAUGGGCGUCCCCUCCUCCUCCUCCUCCCCCUCGCGCCGCUCUCGUCGAAGCCUGCCGCGCCGCCGCCGGAGUACGAGAUGCCGUCGGUGACGUGGGGCGUGAUCCAGGGGCGCAAGGAGCGGCUCGUCUCCCGCGUGCUCGCGCUCGACUUCCUCCGCUCCGCCGGCGUGUCCGACCCGGCGGGCGAGCUCGAGGCCGUCGAGCUCCCCUCCUCCCUCGAGGUGCUCCAGGAGCGGCUCGACUUCCUCCUCCGCCUCGGCCUCUCCACCGACGACCUCUCCGCCUACCCGCUCCUCCUCGCCUGCUCCCUCCGCAAGAACGUCAUCCCCGUCCUCUCCUACCUCGAGAAGCUCGGCGUCACGCGCGCGCGCCUCGCCGCCUUCGUCCGCGCCUACCCCGCGUGCCUUCACGCCUCCGUCGCCGUCGACCUCGCGCCCGUCGUCAAGUCCCUCCGCGGCCUCGACGUCGACCGCCAGGACAUCCCCCGCGUCCUCGAUCGAUACCCUGAUAUCCUCGGCCUCAAGCCGGAUGGCACCAUCAGCACCUCCGUCGCGUACCUCGUCGGCAUCGUUGGCGUGGCGCCGCGCGACAUCGGCCCCAUGGUGACGCACUUCCCUUUCUUCCUCGGCAUGCGCGUCGGCACUACCAUCAAGCCUUUGUGCGACUACAUCACUUCUCUUGGGCUGCCAAUGCGUAUCCUCGCGAGGAUUCUCGAGAAGCGGCCAUACAUUCUUGGCUAUGAUCUUGAGGAGACGGUCAAACCGAAUGUGGAGGCAUUGCUCAGCUUUGGCAUUCGAAAGGAGAUGUUGCCGCUGGUAAUUGCACAGUAUCCACCCAUUCUUGGACUGCCACUGAAAGCGAAGUUGGCGGCCCAGCAGUACUUCUUCAACUUGAAGCUCCAAAUUGAUCCUGAUGGGUUUGCCAGCGCUAUUGAGAAAUUGCCGCAACUUGUAAGUUUGCAUCAGAAUAUCAUACUGAAGCCAGUGGAGUUUCUCCAUGGGCGAGCGAUUAGUAAUGAGGAUGUUGCACGGAUGGUGGUUCGGUGCCCUCAGAUUUUGUUGCUUCGAAUUGAGCUCAUGAAGAACAGUCUUUACUUCUUCAAGAGCGAAAUGAAGCGUCCAAUAAGCGAACUGUUAGAAUACCCGGAGUAUUUUACUUACAGUUUGGAGUCAAGGAUCAAGCCACGGUACAUGAGAGUUGCAUCUAAGGGGAUUAGAUGCAGCUUGGAUUGGUUUCUGAACUGCAGUGAUCAGAGGUUUGAGGAAAGGAUGAGAGGGGAUUUUAUUGAGGGCGAUGCACCAGGACCUUCCUUUACAAUGGGUGGAAAGCUUCAGAUGCCAGGCAGCCAGUUAGUAUCAGAUGAUGAUAACGAGGAAAGCGAAGAUGAGGUGCUAUAUAGACGAACAGUCAUGCUAUAAUUUGGUGGACUAUAAUCUCAAAAGUCUUUCAUGAUGUGCUCCUGACAACAUCAUCUACACAAGCAUCCUCGGGUGCUCAAGUGCAAGACGAAAAAGGCUUUGGCAUUUGAUGGAGCAAUUGCUUCGCAACAACUAAGGUCAUUGAAGUGCUGGCCUAAGCAACAGCUCCAAGGGAUUAAGAUAGCAGACUGCACUCUGACAACCAUCGGACUUUGGUUGUGUGCCACUUGAGACGAAAUCUGGAGAGUUGUAUAUCAGUUUUUUUUAAGCAGGAAAUCAAAGAUUAACUGUAUUAGAAUGGAGAUCAUGUGCUAGGGAUGAAAAUCCUGUUCACUAAAAUUUUACUCUAGGACAGUAUAUGAUCCCGCAAUAGGAUUUAGAUUUUUGUAACCUGUAGACAGUUAACUGUUUGUAACUCAAAUGCUCAGAGAGCUAUUAUUGGCUAAUUAACUAGCACGACGUACAGGUUAAAUUGUUUGCAAUAUUUCCAUACAACCACAUUGC